GAAAUUUCACUUAUUUCCUCUUUAUAAAUAGACUCUUAAUGCCCUCUUCUUCCCACUCCUACCAUUCAAGUCCUGAUAGAGUUUCUAUAUAUAGAGUAUGGGAGACUCUGUAAAGCUCAGGAGGGAUAGCGCCAUAAGCAAUGAUAAUGGUUAUUGAUUUUUGGGUUAAUCUCAAAAAAAAAAAAAAAAAAAAAAAAAAUCAUUAAUGGCGCUAUCUAUCCUGAGUUUCACAGGUUCUUCUUGCUUUCUUUCUUCUUUUACAGUGCAGUUUCAACUUCAGAGAUCACAUAGCUGGUAUCUGGGUGUGUUUGGACUUCAAAGAUGUAGCAAGAUUAAAGAUCUUUCUGUACAAAAAGGCUUUUCAAUAAUGGGAUUAAUUACUGAGGAUGUUGACUCUUCGCCAACUUCGUUCAGCUCAUGGUCUCGUCGCUUUCUUUUCUAAUUGCAUUUUUAAAUUUCUUUUUUCUCUCUCUACUUCUGGAUCAUCAUCAUUAUAUUAAUUAAAGAAUAUAUACAAUAAUAAUUUAUUUUUAUUUAUUAUUCUGAUGCAAUCAUAGAUAUAAAAAUUACCUAACUUUGCAUUUUUUUUCUGAUGGUUGUUGAUGGCGAGGUUGACUCAUAGGAGCAAUUCUUUUGUGUUAUGUAGUUAUCUAGUCUCUGUGCAGAUGCAAUAUGCAUCAUUGGGUUGGCCAUUAUAACCAAAAUGUAAGGUUAGAAUAUAUAAUUAUUGUAUUCUCUUUUACUUUGA